rnacentral:sRNA from 1 species
UUUGCAGAUAUCAAUCAAAUUUUUUGAGAUAUUUCGGAAUAAUUUGCGAAUGUAAAAUAACAUCCACUUCUCUUCAAUUCAGAUCUUCUCCCUUCGAAAGCAGCUUAAGGCCAGAAAUUUUCCGAAACAUACACACAUUUUAAAGUUAACAGCUUUAAAUUUAGUCAACAAACACUCACAAACAUAUA